rnacentral:rRNA from 1 species
UACGUAGGGGGCGAGCGUUGUCCGGAGUUACUGGGCGUAAAGAGCUCGUAGGCGGUGUGUCGCGUCGGCCGUGAAAACCUGCAGCUUAACUGUGGGCUUGCGGUCGAUACGGGCAUCACUGGAGUUCGGCAGGGGAGACUGGAAUUCCUGGUGUAGCGGUGAAAUGCGUAGAGAUCCGGAGGAACACCAAAGGCGAAGGCAGUGUCCUGGGGAGUACCUGACGCUCAGGUGCGAAAGCCAGGGGAGCGAACGGG